CUCUCUCUCUCUCUCUCUCUCUCUCUCGAUCUCUAUGAUGGCUGAUGACCUAGUCUUAAGCUCUGUGCAAUUAUAAGGUAUUACUCAUUUAAAUUAUGUAUGUCUACUAGUGCCUAUAUUAUUGGCAACUAGCUCAAUGACAGCCACAGAUAAACAUAUUGAUGUCAGAUAAUCUUACUAAUUUCUAUGUCGGUGUUCACAUGUAAUUGGAAUCCUCUUUUUUGUAGGUAAGGCUGUAUGAUAUUGGAUUUGAUAGUCUGGUUUAUGAGGUCGAGAAAGUUUGUGAUGGCUCUGGAGAAGAUCCAAUGUGCAGCAGACCAGCCUGUUCAAGAGAAUGCCAGUCUUUGAUUACCAGAAACACCUACGGACGACUAAUCAAAGUGUGUUUCUGCAUCUUGGUAACUGGUAACAGCAUCACGGACCAUUUAGUCUACUAUGGUGUGGAAUUAAUGGCGGAGACAUGGGGAUCGUGCAAAAUCGUCAUGGACCCACAAUUGAAGGAAUAUGGAAGUGAAGACAAAGGAAACCUUAUGCUUUUGAGGAAUCCUUCUGCUUCUGCAUCGAGGCUGCGUUAAGACUCUGAUGCCAAGAGUAACUUAACAUAAAAUGCUCCUAAGUCAGCACCUAAUUUCUUGAGGAUCAUUAGGCAGCUCCGCAUGAAGUUUGUUCAUGUAAUGCAUUCCAUCAAUCUGUUUCCAUGUCCCUCACAAGAUGAAUAGGAUCUCUACUGAAAUUCACUUGGAAUGUUAAUAGCAUGAAAUUGAAUGUAUAUCCUCAUAAACACAACUCUGUGAUACCUAUUGAAUGAAUGCGCUCACAAGUUUACCUGCCAAUUUA